UUCAGCUUCAGUUUCGGUUUCAAUUUCAGAUGUCGGCGACAAAGAAGCGUAACCAGGAUCGCUUCUCCUCGCCGAGGGUAAACAUCGCGAAGAAAAAUAUUGUUCGUUGCAUGAUACAGGUCAGUGGUGCACCGCCCAGCAUUGUGUAACGAAAACGAACACAUUGUCGUUUUCUUUCUUGGCAUCGUUUCCGUGAUCUAACUGUUUUAAAUGUUUCGAAUUGCCGGUGUCAAGAGUCAAGCAUCCAAGAGCUUGUCGAUCGCGCAGAUAUGGAGUUACUUAAAGGAUCAGCAAAUUCCCAAAGUUGUGAUUCAGAAUAGUACGUGUAAGUGUCUCCAGGACAAAGUUACGACACGAUAAGGAAUCGCGUCAGCGUUUCGAUCUGCAGUCGCGAUGCGAGAUAAAAGGCACUGUGAGCAAUCGUUGAAUUGUGGUCGACACGACACAACGUGUCUCAACGAAAUUUCUGUUGUUCGAGGCUCCGUCUAAAACGGGUUAAUCCGUGGGUUGAGACGCAGCGGCAGCGACGAGAGACGACUACAAGACCAAAAACACGCUCUGAUCCGUUGAAAUUCAUUUCUGAACUUCACCGAGUACACACUUCCCCGGCGCAUUUCGUUUUGUUCGAUGCACCCGAUGACACUGACGAACGACACGUGUCCAUGUUGCGACAGUACAAUUAAUACCUAUCAGACAUAUUGCCAGGGUUUUCUGCCAGUGACCAGAAUAAGUUGCUCCCAUCGUUCUUGCAACAGUUUCUCGAAUCUCCUCUAUAACCCAAUUUUUUCGGUCUAGCCAAAGAAUUGUGUCGAUAGCCUUCCGAUAUCAACGAACGAUCGAUUUACAAUUUUUCCCAAGUUUCGUCGCGUCGUCUACGGACCGUUAAUCCGACGACUAAGAGAGAUUGCACUAGCUGCAAGAGCACCCUACACGCAUUUCGAUCCCCUGAAAACACGAUUCACCCUUGAUCGUUCGAGACAAUGUGUUCAACAAUGUACUUGGUCAAAUGAGGUGGAACAGGUACUGUCGCUCGCAGCAGAAGACCCACGCAUCGAUCCAAUCUAUUGACGUAUGCAUGCCAGAAGAUAGAUCUAUGGAUGAGAGCCUCGGAAUACGUCAUAUCCACCAGGGACGAUAUAUGUAUGGUAGAACGUGACGCGUUUCAGAGACAUUGAUACCUUGCCUACGCACUUACGCGACAGGGUUCUUCUACCGUGCCGCAUCCUCAUCGCACCGAUAUGUUAUUCUUCCCUCAUUUUGUUUUCAAUCUACAGAGCGCAGAAUUACUCACUGAAACCGAAUACCUCUGGCUAUAUAUUGUUGCUACGAUUUUGAACUUUGUACCGAAGCGUGCUCUUCGUUGCACAGGCUACGUACCGAACGGGUCGACCAGCGGCAAAAGCGAAUCGUAUCCGUAUUUCGAGAAAACGAUGGCGCCCGGAUAGUACUAUAGAAUCUGGUGUUUGGUGUCUCAUUCCUUAAAAUGACCACGAGCGAUUCAGCACGUGCUCUCGGGCGCUUCGAACUUUUUUUUCUUUAAUUGCCUCUACGGUGACGGGUCGGUUUGGAAUCCGGAAAAUGAUCAGAAUGACAGGCGCGUUUUAAUAGCUGUGUAACACUUCUGUACAGGGCGUAUCGAAGAUCGUUGUACAACUGUACAGGUGACGAUUCUGCGUGUAAACAUAAGUCGAAAAAACGAA